CUCACCCUCUUUAACUUUAAUCGCAGAAUUCAUUGAAGUCGCCUUUCAAUGCUGGAAUAAUAAACUCAAAGUAAAAAGUUUGCGUUAUUAAGUUAUUUCUUUGCAAUAUUUGGUCAUUAUUUUGAGAAGGUUGCUAAGCAUAGUGACCUUCACAGGAUCUUUUUCUUUUAUCACAUUGCCUGUAAUGGGCUUCCAUUGUAACCUCUGGGAAUAAUGGGAAUGUCUAAGAUCAAGUGUAGACGUUUAUUGUGAAGGUCAAAGCUGAAAUUCCGGUGUCUUCCUCCUCUCUGGCGGUAACUUGACGCGCCAUCUUGUCCGCUCGCCUCGCCCGAGCACCGGGAGGAACGCACUCCUGCUCCCGACUCUCCGCCGCAAGUUUGGGCGUUUUCCCUCCCGGAGCUCCCGCUCAUCACAACUAACGGACGUUUCCCCGGAACAACACGGUAACGGUUUCCGUGUGGGCGCUUCGUCACAUUUAUUUUUCUUCUUCUGCUCGGGAGGUCAACAAAACCGGAGCUGACUUUAAACGGACCGGGAAACUCCGCCGUCAGUGUCCAUGCCGCUCCUCGCGCAGGCUGUGCAGCGGGGGCUGAUCUGGGAUCUGUGCUGCGUGGCGUCAUGAAGCUGCCCUGCUCUCUGCACUGCUCCCUGUGGUUGUUCCUGCUGCUGGGAGCCGGAUCUCUGCUGCUGCUCAUCCGCCUGCAGGAUCUCAGCGAGGUGGUGUUGCAGCAGACUCCAGGUCAGUUAUCUUUAUAAUAAUAAUCCGUCAGACUUUGUGAUUUUCAGAGUUCUUGAAGACGUUUUACAUGCUGUAGGAUAAGAAAAACAGCAGCAAACAACUGGAUUUAUUCAGGUUUCUCACCAAGAUAAAAUUUGAACACAUCAUGAUAACGUUAUAAUUUACCUUCAACCAGUACUCAAUUUUACUGAAGAGAGCUUGAACGCAUCAUAAUGUAAGUAGUAGUAGUACAUCAGUAGAACCUCCGUUAGCAUUAGCCACCGGCUGCUAACAGCUAACUA
rnacentral:lncRNA from 1 species